AGCCCAUGAUGCGGGCAAAUCCUUAGCAUGUCCUUAUAUCUCCCCCACGCUUCGAAAAAUGAUUUAUUGUCUUUUUGCCUAAAUUCGUUGAUUUGACUUCUUAGCAU